GCGGGACCAGCGGGACAAACUACUCAUCCCAGCAUGCGUCGCGUGGCGAGCCACCCCUAGUUUUUUUUUUUUUCCAUUCCAAGCACCGGGCAAGUCUGACUGUGAGGUCAGGCUUUUACCGUGUUUUCUCGCCUCUAUUCUCUCCUGCGAGCAAGGGCUGGUUUUAGCUCCUCUUGUUUCGCAAAGUUAGUGUUCAGACCGCCAGCUGACUCCUGGGAAGAAGCAUUAAUGGAAUUUCCUCCAGUAUUUUCAUAGCAACCUUCAGAUGAAAGUGUAGAACUCUCAGCUCCUCCUGCAUCAUGACUGCCUGGGGCUGCCAUGUUCCUGCCUUGAUGAUAAUGGACUGAACCUCUAAACCUGACUGGUUGUUCUAUUUCUGAGAUCUCUGAGACCCAGCCCACCAGGAACACACAAAUGUGGAACCGAGAUAGGCUGAGGACUUAUUAAACAGAAUUCUGCUGUUCCUAUCCCAGGGUUGGACCAAUGUGUAGAAAAUUGCUUAUGGGAUUCUUUGAAUGACUUUUUCAUUGCGGGAAAUAUUAAAAAUGAACCUGCCAACCUU
rnacentral:lncRNA from 1 species